GAUGAACGCUGGCGGCGUGCCUAAUACAUGCAAGUCGAGCGAACGGACGAGAAGCUUGCUUCUCUGAUGUUAGCGGCGGACGGGUGAGUAACACGUGGAUAACCUACCUAUAAGACUGGGAUAACUUCGGGAAACCGGAGCUAAUACCGGAUAAUAUUUUGAACCGCAUGGUUCUAAAGUGAAAGACGGUCUUGCUGUCACUUAUAGAUGGAUCCGCGCUGCAUUAGCUAGUUGGUAAGGUAACGGCUUACCAAGGCAACGAUGCGUAGCCGACCUGAGAGGGUGAUCGGCCACACUGGAACUGAGACACGGUCCAGACUCCUACGGGAGGCAGCAGUAGGGAAUCUUCCGCAAUGGGCGAAAGCCUGACGGAGCAACGCCGCGUGAGUGAUGAAGGUCUUCGGAUCGUAAAACUCUGUUAUUAGGGAAGAACAUAUGUGUAAGUAACUGUGCACGUCUUGACGGUACCUAAUCAGAAAGCCACGGCUAACUACGUG
rnacentral:rRNA from 1 species